rnacentral:rRNA from 1 species
CCGCCUGGGGAGUACGGCCAUAAGGUUAAAACUCAAAUGAAUUGACGGGGGCCCGCACAAGCGGUGGAGCAUGUGGUUUAAUUCGAUGCAACGUGAAGAACCUUACCUGGUCUUGACAUCCACAGAACUCCCCAGAGAUGGCUUGGUGCCUUCGGGAACUGUGAGACAGGUGCUGCAUGGCUGUCGUCAGCUCGUGUUGUGAAAUGUUGGGUUAAGUCCCGCAACGAGCGCAACCCUUAUCCUUUGUUGCCAGCGGUUCGGCCGGGAACUCAAAGGAGACUGCCAGUGAUAAACUGGAGGAAGGUGGGGAUGACGUCAAGUCAUCAUGGCCCUUACGACCAGGGCUACACACGUGCUACAAUGGCAUAUACAAAGAGAAGCGACCUCGCGAGAGCAAGCGGACCUCAUAAAGUAUGUCGUAGUCCGGAUUGGAGUCUGCAACUCGACUCCAUGAAGUCGGAAUCGCUAGUAAUCGUAGAUCAGAAUGCUACGGUGAAUACGUUCCCGGGCCUUGUACACACCGCCCGUCACACCAUGGGAGUGGGUUGCAAAAGAAGUAGGUAGCUUAACCUUCGGGAGGGCGCUACCUUAUC